GACGAACGCUGGCGGCGUGCUUAACACAUGCAAGUCGAACGGUAAGGCCCUUCGGGGUACACGAGUGGCGAACGGGUGAGUAACACGUGGGUGAUCUGCCCUGCACUUCGGGAUAAGCCUGGGAAACUGGGUCUAAUACCGGAUAGGACCCUGGGAUGCAUGUCCUGGGGUGGAAAGCUUUUGCGGUGUGGGAUGGGCCCGCGGCCUAUCAGCUUGUUGGUGGGGUAAUGGCCUACCAAGGCGACGACGGGUAGCCGGCCUGAGAGGGUGACCGGCCACACUGGGACUGAGAUACGGCCCAGACUCCUACGGGAGGCAGCAGUGGGGAAUAUUGCACAAUGGGCGCAAGCCUGAUGCAGCGACGCCGCGUGAGGGAUGACGGCCUUCGGGUUGUAAACCUCAUUCAGCACAGACGAAGCGCAAGUGACGGUAUGUGCAGAAGCAGGACCGGCCAACUACGUGCCAGCCGCCGCCGUAA
rnacentral:rRNA from 1 species